CGGUAACAGGGGUGCUUGCACCCGCUGACGAGCGGCGAACGGGUGAGUAACGCGUAGGAAUCUACCUGAUAGAGGGGGAUAGCCCGGCGAAAGCCGGAUUAAUACCGCAUACGCCCUACGGGGGAAAGCAGGGGAUCUUCGGACCUUGCACUAUCAGAUGAGCCUGCGUCGGAUUAGCUAGUUGGUAGGGUAAAGGCCUACCAAGGCGACGAUCCGUAGCUGGUCUGAGAGGAUGAUCAGCCACACUGGAACUGAGACACGGUCCAGACUCCUACGGGAGGCAGCAGUGGGGAAUAUUGGACAAUGGGGGCAACCCUGAUCCAGCCAUGCCGCGUGUGUGAAGAAGGCCUUCGGGUUGUAAAGCACUUUAAGCAGGGAGGAACGGGUGAUGGUUAAUACCCAUCAUUUUUGACGUUACCUGCAGAAUAAGCACCGGCUAACUUCGUGCCAGCAGCCGCGGUAAUACGAAGGGUGCAAGCGUUAAUCGGAAUUACUGGGCGUAAAGCGCGCGUAGGCGGUUUGGUCAGUUGGAUGUGAAAGCCCCGGGCUCAACCUGGGAACUGCAUCCAAUACUGCCAGGCUAGAGUACGGGAGAGGGGGGUAGAAUUCCACGUGUAGCGGUGAAAUGCGUAGAGAUGUGGAGGAAUACCGGUGGCGAAGGCGGCCCCCUGGAUCGAUACUGACGCUGAGGUGCGAAAGCGUGGGGA
rnacentral:rRNA from 1 species